rnacentral:rRNA from 1 species
AACGGCCAUACCAUGCUGAAUAUACCGGUUCUCGUUAGAUCACCGAAGUCAAGCAUCAUUGGGCGCGGUCAGUACUUGGGUGGGGACCACUUGGGAACACCGCGUGCCGUU